rnacentral:sRNA from 1 species
GCAGAUGUUAUGAUGGGAACGUGGGCC